GCUGGGCACAGUGGUGCACACCUGUAAUUCCAGUGGCUCAGGAGGCUGAGGCAGGAGGAUUGCAAGUUCAAAGUUAGCCUUAGCAAAUCAGUGAGGCCCUAAGCAACUUAGCAAGACCCUGUCUCUC
rnacentral:sRNA from 1 species